UCCGUAGGGGGCAAGCGUUGUCCGGAAUCAUUGGGCGUAAAGCGCGUGUAGGCGGUCCGGCAAGUCCGCUGUGAAAGUCGGGGGCUCAACCCUCGGAUGCCGGUGGAUACUGUCGGGCUUGAGUACGGAAGAGGCGAGUGGAAUUCCUGGUGUAGCGGUGAAAUGCGCAGAUAUCAGGAGGAACACCAAUUGCGAAGGCAGCUCGCUGGGACGUUACUGACGCUGAGACGCGAAAGCGUGGGGAGCAAACAGG
rnacentral:rRNA from 1 species